CAACAACUACUGUAGUAUCUGGGUUUAGGUAGAUGGUGAGUCAAAACAGAAGCUAAGUCAACUUUACGCAGACAGUAUGAAGACGAUCUAUGACACCUACCUUUUUGCCCUUGUCGUUCUAACUUUGAUCUCAGUGAUCUUCAUAUCACUGGCAAAUGGACAAGAUCAAGACUCAGUAGACUCAGGCUCUGUGGAUGUUCCUGACGAUUCGGAAUCACAACCUAUAACACUAGACUACAUUUAUACCCAGGGUAAAAAUUCAUAAAAUGAAUACUUAAAUAAAGUGCAAUAUACUGGUU